GACGAACGCUGGCGGCGUGCUUAACACAUGCAAGUGGUGCGACGAACCAGGCUUCGGCCUGGGGCAGAGCCGCGAACGGGUGAGUAACACGUGGGUAACCUGCCCCGAUGACCGGGACAACCCGGGGAAACCCGGGCUAAUACCGGAUGAGCUCUCCACCCUUUCGGGCGGCGAGGAAGGGUAGCUUCGGCCUCCGCAUCGGGAUGGGCCCGCGGCCCAUUAGCUUGUUGGUGUGGUAACGGCUCACCAAGGCAACGAUGGGUAGCUGGUCUGAGAGGACGAUCAGCCACACUGGGACUGAGACACGGCCCAGACUCAUACGGGAGGCAGCAGUGGGGAAUCUUGCGCAAUGCGCGAAAGCGUGACGCAGCAACGCCGCGUGGGGGAAGAAGGCCUUCGGGUUGUAAACCCCUUUCAGUUGGGACGAAGCCUUCCCUGGUUAAGAGCUAGGGGGGUGACGGUACCUUCAGAAGAAGCCCCGGCUAACUACGUGCCAGCAGCCGCCGCAGUAA
rnacentral:rRNA from 1 species